UACGUAGGGUGCGAGCGUUGUCCGGAAUUAUUGGGCGUAAAGAGCUCGUAGGCGGUCUGUCGCGUCGGCUGUGAAAACCCGGAGCUCAACUCCGGGCCUGCAGCCGAUACGGGCAAGACGUAGACGUUGGCAGGGGAGACUGGAAUUCCUGGUGUAGCGGUGAAAUGCGCAGAUAUCAGGAGGAACACCGGUGGCGAAGGCGGGUCUCUGGGCCGAGUAACUGACGCUGGAGGAGCGGAAAGCGUGGGGAGCGAACAGG
rnacentral:rRNA from 1 species